CAGGAUCACAAGUCCCGUCUAGGUAAAUCUGCAUGGAGGGAACUUCUUGGGUCUCUGGUGUCUUCGUGGACUCCUCGCUGGACAAUGUCUUCACAUAGUCAGCAAGUAAAUUACUUUCAAUUUCAUGAAAAAACUAUAAUUUUUUUAUUAAAUAAGUUAGAGGGAACUGGCAACCCAAGAAAACCACCACACCUGCAGAGUUGACUCAAAUGUAGUAAAGUAACUCGUAGUUUAACCACGAAGUUCCCAAAUCAUUAUUACCACAGAGUCUUAAAUUCAAAGGCAGCUGGUGAAGAAGGGACUGUUUGUUUGGGACUGUUUGUGUUCUCCUGUAAUUAUUGAGAUAAAGUCAGUCAGUAUAGAAGCUGUGUUUUUUAUUUUAUUUUUUUAAAUGAGUACAUUUUGUUGAUGAUCCUCAGCUAAAAGAAACAAGACUGCACCAGUGUUACCUGCUUUAAUUUUAAAGGAGACGUAUAAUGUAAAACUCUCAUUUUCAGUCAUGAAGCUCAAACAUCUGAGAAUCUGGAAGGCGGACCAACCCAAAACCUGAAAUAACAACAACCCAGACAGAUAUUAUGGGUAGAAAACAAUUCCACAAGCCAUUCAGAUUCAACUCCUCUUGCUAUGUCACAUAAAGGCUCAUUCAGAGAGCGAGAGAAUUGUUACAGACGUCUCUUUUAUAAUGGUGGAAAAUCUUUUCUGGGUUGUUGGGAUAUUUUUUGUUGCAAUACUGCGAUUGUUCACUGGACAAAAUUAGAGGAAAUUAAAAUAGUAAAUUAAGCAGUUGUGUUUUUGGGACAUUAAAACAUGUAAACGUGUUCUCGUAGAAAUUUAAAAAUACAAGUACAAACCUGAAAAUGAUCAUAAUAUGUCUCCUUUAAAAGAAAAUGUUGAUGUCCCUGCUGGCGGGGUUGGUGGUUCGAUCCCUGGCUCCUUGAGCAAGACGCUGAACCCCAAAUUCCUCCAAUGGUCAGACAGCACCGUGCACGGUAGCUCUGUUAAUGGAGGAAUGACAUAUAAACUGCUUUAUUAAUAUAAUCCUGACGCUUUAAUUUACUAAAAGUACUCAAUGAAUAACGUUAUAAGACUAAAGCCUGUCACACUGUAAAAGAAAUGUGAAUUAUUUUGUAGCCAGAGUGAAAUCUAACGUUACUUCUUUUUAUAUUUAGACGUUUGUCUCGUUGACAUUAUUUAGGAUGAGCAUGUUCUGCUUCUUCUUAUUUCCUAAGGUGCUGAGCCAGAGUUUCAGGUUGAACUACACACUGUUGUUGCUGUAAUAUCAGGAUUGUUUCUGUGUGUUUAUGUUGAUCUGAUGCACCUGCAGGGCAUCAUGUAAUCUCACACAGAGCUUCAUCAUUUCAAUCUAAAUAAAACAUAAAACAUAUGUCAAACUGUGUGUUGUUGUGACUGUUUUGGAUGUUUCUGUGUUCAAACUCUGAUAAAAGAAACAAACUACAAACAUAA